rnacentral:rRNA from 1 species
CCUACGGGUGGCAGCAGUGGGGAAUAUUGGACAAUGGGGGGAACCCUGAUCCAGCCAUGCCGCGUGUGUGAAGAAGGCCCUCGGGUUGUAAAGCACUUUCAGUGAGGAAGAACGCCUGGUGGUUAAUACCCAUCAGGAAAGACAUCACUCACAGAAGAAGCACCGGCUAACUCCGUGCCAGCAGCCGCGGUAAUACGGAGGGUGCGAGCGUUAAUCGGAAUUACUGGGCGUAAAGCGCGCGUAGGUGGCUUGAUAAGCCGGUUGUGAAAGCCCCGGGCUCAACCUGGGAACGGCAUCCGGAACUGUCAAGCUAGAGUGCAGGAGAGGAAGGUAGAAUUCCCGGUGUAGCGGUGAAAUGUGUAGAGAUCGGGAGGAAUACCAGUGGCGAAGGCGGCCUUCUGGACUGACACUGACACUGAGGUGCGAAAGCGUGGGUAGCAAACAGGAUUAGAUACCCCAGUAGUC